AAAUUUUGUCAUUCAUUUGUCAUAUGAGUUCAAUCUCAAUCAGAGAGUUGCCCACUGUAAAACACCAGUAGUAAUUGAAGAUUACUAUAAGUUACUCCAGAAUAUUGUAGAAAACAGAAGGCAGGAAUUGUUGUUAGGAGUUUGUUAGCAAACAGAUGAUGUGUCAUUUAGUGAUUGGGUCAAGUGUUGUAUAUAAACAGUAGCAAAGUAAAGAAAUGUCAGAUGCUCAUAUUCACAAUUCAUUUUUCUUCUCUGCACGUUUUUCAUCAGCUCCUAAGUAUCAAGAGUCAUAAUAGCGUUUGAUGUAGCUCCCAAGUUUCUGUGUUAGGUGAUUGGCAAGCUUGUAGAUCUGUUUUGUCUAUUUUGCUUCUUAAAAUUCACAGCAAGAAAUUGAUAACUGAAAGUGGGAUGAAGAUUUAUAUUGAGUAGUUGUGCUUUGAAAAUCUAAAUAUCGUUGUUACAUAUAAAAGGAGAAAGAAGCGAAAUAUGGGGAUUGCUGAGUUGGCAGUAGAAUCAGAUUGCUGAGUUGUUUGGAUA
rnacentral:misc_RNA from 1 species